CUCCCUCAGGACUUACAGAUGACCGAUAAAGACGUGGAUGAUUAAGAGAAUAUGGAAGCUGCUGGAAGGAAGUGAAUGAAUAUGGAGAUGAGUGAUAUGAUGGAAGUUCUAAGAAGGCUGAACCAUCUCACCAGGAACUUUGACCUGUCGCAAGUCCGGAUGAUGAACUCGACGUUUGUUGUCCCCUACCACCGGAGCAGUCGCUGAACGCCUCAUUUGACCUGACGGUACAGGAUGACGAUGAUCGCGUCUGCAUAUCGGAGAGGGAAAAGCUUAUCCAGCAGUAAGCUCAUGCUUAAUAGCCAAAAUGAUGAGCCCGAAUGAAAGAGAUGUUCUGGUAGCCCUGGGCUGAACUUCACUGAUACCCAGGACUGGUCUUCAUUAGUCCCCUAUCAGUGAAAUCGGGGGGACUUUGAGUCUAUGAGUUUUCUCUCGUGUUGUACGUAUGUACAUCAGUGCUCUUGUGGCUUCAUUCCUGGAGGGACUUUGAUCAAACUUCACACAAUGAUAAAGGACCCUACUAUCUCGGACAGGUUUGAGUUUCAGGGUUUUUGGGUCAAGGUCACAGCUACUAUUUAUAGUCGGGGCUGGUAAGGAACAUGUAUUACUUUAACAUUUCCUAGUAUUUCAUGUUACCUGUAAAAUAUGAUGUUAUUACUUUUAUGUACAUUUUUCACUAAAUAGUCUGAUAUGCAUUUGAAAUAUUACUUAGUAUCAAGUAUUUUUUCAUAAACAUGUACAUGUUAUUGAGAGAAACCACUAAAAAGAAAACUUUCUCUUGUUAAAUUAAUUGUACCUAAUGUCAAAAAGCUUUAACAUUUUUCACACUUUCAGCCCACCAUCUUUAGAUGGGGGUCUGUUCAAAUUGCCCUUUGUAGGUGAUUUUUCCAUCCGUCGUCCAUAAAAAAAUCUUUCGUUGUUGCUCAGUU